GACUCUCAGGGGCGGGGAGAGAGACGAAUACCCACAGGCCCAGUACUUCGUUGGUUGGUGGCUUCUUCCAGUCCCGCCCAUACUGGGAGAAUACCAAGACCCCACCCUACAACUUCCUGGGCCUGGACUUCCUGCGAGAGGCCGACUUAGUCUUCCCUACCCACGGGCCAGUUCCUACACCUGGACCUCACUCUGUCCAGAGCUUCAGGUUUCCCGGGAGUCCUACUCCAUUUCUGGCCUAGGGACUAAGCCUGUGUGUUGAGGGAGAAGCAGUUGUCUGGAACCCUAAGGUCUUUUAUAGCGAGGCCAUUUACAAUGCCAUUAAGCAUGCCAAAGAAGACUGGAUUUUAUGUUAAGUAAUUAUUUGCCAAAAGCUUUUCUUUCCAUGACCAUUAAAAGUAGGACAUUUAAUCAUUUCAACGUGUAUAUAGAAGUGUGCCUAUUCUUAUGGAAAAUAGAAUCUGAAAUAAAACAAUAUUGUAUAACUUGUACCUUUAUUAAAUGUAUACUAGGACCUUUUUUGGGUUUUCUGUAAAUUUCAGAAGCAACCCUUGCUCGUUUUCAACAUUUCAAUUUUUAAGACAUAAAUAGUUAAAACCUGUAGACUCUAACUUGUAUUUUUGAGAUACAAACUAUACUAGUGUUUGAUUAGAAGCCUUCCAGAAACUGUACUUAGUACAUAUUCACCCUCUAGAAUCCGUAUAUGUUUAUGGUUCUGUGUAACAGUAGAGAAAAACAGUCUUUCAUAAGAGUAAUCCUCAUGAUUUUGUUUUAGACAUUAGUUUCUUAGGGAUACCAAAAGCAUAGCCAACCAAAGAAAAAACUCGACAAACCAGAUUUCAUCAAGUUUUAAAAAAGUUGUUUCACAAAUGAUACCAUCAAGAAAGAAAGAAAAAAACUCACAGAAUGGGAGAUAAUGUUUGCCAAUCAUAUAUUUGGUAAGGGACUUGUAUCCAGAAUAUAAAAAACUCUUACCACUCAGUCAUAAAAAGAUAACUCUUUUAAAAAUGGGCAAAUGAUCUGAAUAGAUAUUUAUCCAAAGAAGAUAUGUAUAUGGCUAACAGCAUGUGAAAAGAUGGUCAACCUCAUUAGCUAUUAGAGAAAUGCAAAUGAAAAACACAGUGAGGUACUACUUCACAGCCCCUAGGUUGUCUAUAUUUUAAAAAGACAGAUAAUAACAAGUGUCAGUAAGGAUGUGCAUAAGCUGCAAGCUUCAUAUAUGGCUUGUGGAAAUAUCACAUGGUACAGUCACUUUAGAAGUAGUCUGGCAGUUCCCCAAAAGUUUGAAGAUUCUAUCAUCAUAUGACUAAUCAAUUCCAAACCUAUUUAUCUACACAAGAGAAAUGAAAACAUGUUCACACAAAAAGUAGAAACAACCUAAAUGUCCAUCAACUGAUGAAUAUAUAUAAAAAAUGUGGUAUAUCCAUACAAUGGACUGUUAUUCAACCAUAUUGAAGAAUGAAUUAUUGAUACAUUGUACAACAUGAAAAAUCCCUCAAAACAUGCUAAGUGAAAAAAGCCAGACACAAAAGACCAUACCUUGUAGGAUUACAAUUAUAUAUAGUUUCCAGAAUAGGCAAAUCCAUAGACACAGAAAGUAGAUUAGUGUUUGCCAGGGACUAGAGGAAGCUGAGAAUGAGAACUAACUGCUAGUAGGCAUAUUUCUUUUUGGAGUGAUGAAAAUAUUCUAAAAUUGAUUAUGGUAAUGAUUGCACAAUUCUGUGAAUAUAUUGAAAACCACCACAUUGUACAUUUUAAAUUGGUGGUAUUUAUAGUGUGUGAAUUCUAUCUCAAUAAAGCUGUUUUUAAAAGUUUCAAAAAUUAACAGGUUAAUUCACAUUUAUAAAAUUAAUAAGAAAAAGCAUAUAAUCAUCUGAAAUUGUGUAGAAAAAGUAUUUGACAAACAUAAACACCAAUCCUGAUUUUAAAAAACUCUCACCAAACUAGAAAUUGAAGAAAAUAUAUCUUCAAUAUGGUAAAAAUAUACAACUAAUGUCAUACUUAACACUGAAAAAGUCAACACUGUUUUUAAGAUCUAGAGCAACGUGAGGAAUUUGUCUCUCACCUCUUCUAUUCAACGUCAUACCAGAUUUUCUAAGAAGUGCAAUUAGGC